rnacentral:rRNA from 1 species
UACAGAGGGGGCAAGCGUUGUUCGGAAUUACUGGGCGUAAAGGGCGCGUAGGCGGCCUGUUAAGUCGAACGUGAAAUCCCCGGGCUCAACCCGGGAACUGCGUCCGAUACUGGCAGGCUUGAAUCCGGGAGAGGGAUGUGGAAUUCCAGGUGUAGCGGUGAAAUGCGUAGAUAUCUGGAGGAACACCGGUGGCGAAGGCGACAUCCUGGACCGGUAUUGACGCUGAGGCGCGAAAGCCAGGGGAGCAAAGCGGG